UACGUAGGGGGCAAGCGUUGUCCGGAAUCAUUGGGCGUAAAGAGCGUGUAGGCGGUCCGGUCAGUCGGUUGUGAAAGUCAAGGGCUCAACCCUUGAAUGCCGGUCGAUACUGCCGGGCUAGAGUCCGGAAGAGGAGAGUGGAAUUCCUGGUGUAGCGGUGAAAUGCGCAGAUAUCAGGAAGAACACCCGUGGCGAAGGCGGCUCUCUGGGACGGUACUGACGCUGAGACGCGAAAGCGUGGGGAGCGAACAGG
rnacentral:rRNA from 1 species